rnacentral:rRNA from 1 species
AUGGAGAGGAGCGGCGAGCGGAAUCGGCGGACGGAGAACGGGGCGACGAGGGGGGCACGACGAGCAUACCAACACUCGAGAUGUCACUGGCUGACUCCGAGGCAGGGGGAGAGGGCGCCACUGGGGGUACGGCCAGCUGAAGAGCCACCGCGAGGUCAGUGGCAGACACUCGGGUGCGGCCCUGCCCGGAGCCGCCGCGACCCGAGGGGGGGUUGGCGGGCUCACGAGACGGGGAGAGGGAGCGCUCAGAGAUGUUGUUGUCCUCCUCGUGGUCGUCGAAGCGGGAGUGGCGGGGGCGCCGGUGGUGGGAGCCAUCGGCAUCCGUGGGCCCGCCCCGUGGAGGCUGUUAGCGAAGAGGCGUGGCGGCCGAUGUGGUUCGGCGGCUCGGGGCAGAUGGUGAGGUCGUAUCCGUCGUCGUUGAAGAAGACCCGAAGCAUGGUGUGGAGCUUGGAGGCGUCCAGGCAUUUCACCUUGACCCGGACCUCCUCCUCCUUGCGCAGAGAGAGCUCGUCGACCACCACCACCUUGCCCAGGAUAUUGGACAUACUGCGAAUGACCCGCUCAGACCGGGCCACGUCUGGGAGGCCAGCGAUGAGGAGCCAAGCAGUGUUGAGGACCGCCACGGCCUUGGGAUCCCACCUCAGCUUGAAGAUAUUCACCACAAUCCCGUUGAGGGCCAAGGUGAUGUUGUCGCUACGGGUGCAGAGGCCCAUGCUCAGGGCAUCGGGGAAGAUCACCGAGAAGGAGUUGGGCGCGGUGGAGGUCACCUGCCAAUCCCACUUGCAUCGGCAGAGGUGGUUGAGCUCGGCCUCGAUCAGCUCCGAAGUGGCGACGCCCUCCCCCACGACCGUCACAAGGGCCAGGAGCGAGGGGGAGGGAGGCGGGAGCUCCGGCACCUCAAUGUGGAAGAAGCCCAUGUCCUCGAUGUCGUGGCCGUACAUCAUGAUCUCCUCUGUGACCGGGCGCUCCAGAUAG